ACUCCUACGGGAGGGCAGCAGUGGGGAAUGAUUGGACAAUGGGCGAAAGCCUGAUCCAGCCAUGCCGCGUGUGUGAAGAAGGCCCUUCGGGUUGUAAAGCACUUUCAGUGAGGAAGAACGCUUGUGGGUUAAUACCCUGCAAGAGAGACAUUCACUUCACAGAAGAAGCACCGGCUAACUCCGUGCCAGCAGCCGCGGUAAUACGGAGGGUGCGAGCGUUAAUCGGAAUUACUGGGCGUAAAGCGCGCGUAGGCGG
rnacentral:rRNA from 1 species